GUGAGCUCCAACCGGUAUCGGCUAUAUCCUACAAAGAAAAGAUGAAGAAGCCCCAUGACCUAAAAAUUGAAAAACGAGAGUUUAUGGUUGGGGAUUUUGUGCUUUUAUACAAUUCUAGGUUGAGUUUGUUUCAGGGCAAGCUCAAGUCCAAAUGGACUGGCCCUUACUUGAUUACCCAACUAUUCCCUCUUGGAGCAGUUGAGUUAGAAUCCAAGGAGAGUGUGUGGUUUAAGGUGAAUGGAC
rnacentral:misc_RNA from 1 species